GACGAACGCUGGCGGCGUGCUUAACACAUGCAAGUCGAACGAAGUGGCGAACGGGUGAGUAACGCGUAAUCAACCUGCCCUUCAGAGGGGGACAACAGUUGGAAACGACUGCUAUUACCGCAUACUGAAGGAGGGGAUUGUGUCUGAUUUGCUAGUUGGAGGGGUAACGGCCCACCAAGGCGAUGAUCAGUAGCCGUUCUUGGAGGGUGAACGGCCACAUUGGGACUGUGACACGGCCCAGACUCCUACGGGAGGCAGCAGUGGGGAAUCUUCCGAAAUGGACGAAAGUCUGACGGAGCAACGCCGCGUGAGUGAUGACGGCCUUCGGGUUGUAAAGCUCUGUUAAUCGGGACGCGGUACCGGAAUAGAAAGCCACGGCUAACUACGUGCCAGCAGCCGCGGUAAUUC
rnacentral:rRNA from 1 species